CGGAUGACAAUGCCAAGCUACCAUGCUUCAAUGGCCGGGUGGUGUCCUGGCUGGUGUCAGCUGAAGGCUCACACCCAGACCCAGCCCCCUUCUGUGCUGACAACCCAUCGGAGCUGCCACCACCUAUGGAGCGCACGGGAGGCAUUGGGGACUCCCGACCCCCAUCCUUCCACCCUCAUGCUGGUGGGGGCAGCCAGGAGAACCUGGACAAUGACACAGAGACGGACUCUUUGGUGUCUGCCCAGCGAGAACGGCCACGCCGGAGGGAUGGCCCAGAGCAUGCAACCCGGCUAAAUGGAACUGCGAAGGGGGAACGGCGGCGAGAACCAGGGGGUUAUGAUAGCUCAUCCACCCUUAUGAGCAGCGAGCUGGAGACCACCAGCUUCUUUGACUCAGAUGAGGAUGACUCCACCAGCAGGUGGGGCUUGAGUUUCGUGGGUAUUGUGGGGCAGGUGACCCUGGAGGAGCCCUAAACCCUGAGGAUGCGGGGCCCCUGGGAGGCUUAUGGGCUUUGUGUUGGGGACCCAGGCCCUGCAGUGCCUCUCAUGGGGGCAGGGCUGGGCCAGCCUGGUGGGGAACGACUGUGGGCCCCACAGGUUCAGCAGCUCCACAGAACAGAGCAGCGCCUCACGCCUGAUGAGAAGACACAAGCGGCGGCGGCGGAAGCAGAAGGUUUCUCGGAUUGAGCGGUCUUCAUCCUUCAGCAGCAUCACGGACUCCACCAUGUCACUCAACAUCAUCACGGUCACUCUCAACAUGGAAAAAUAUAACUUCUUGGGCAUCUCCAUUGUGGGCCAAAGCAAUGAGCGUGGUGACGGCGGCAUCUACAUUGGCUCUAUCAUGAAGGGUGGGGCCGUGGCUGCUGAUGGACGCAUCGAGCCAGGAGAUAUGCUGUUACAGGUAAACGAGAUCAACUUUGAGAACAUGAGUAAUGACGAUGCAGUCCGGGUACUGCGGGAGAUUGUGCACAAACCGGGGCCCAUCACCCUGACUGUAGCCAAGUGCUGGGACCCAAGUCCACGUGGUUGCUUCACAUUGCCCAGGAGCGAGCCCAUCCGGCCCAUUGACCCUGCAGCCUGGGUCUCCCACACUGCAGCCAUGACCGGCACCUUCCCUGCAUACGGCAUGAGCCCCUCCCUGAGCACCAUCACCUCCACCAGCUCCUCCAUCACCAGUUCCAUCCCUGACACAGAGCGCCUAGACGACUUCCACUUGUCCAUCCACAGUGACAUGGCUGCCAUCGUAAAAGCCAUGGCCUCCCCUGAAUCAGGGUUGGAGGUCCGUGACCGCAUGUGGCUCAAGAUUACCAUCCCUAAUGCUUUCAUCGGCUCAGAUGUGGUGGACUGGCUGUACCACAAUGUGGAAGGCUUCACGGACCGGAGGGAGGCCCGCAAGUAUGCCAGCAACCUGCUGAAAGCUGGCUUCAUCCGCCAUACCGUCAACAAGAUCACCUUCUCCGAGCAGUGCUACUACAUCUUCGGCGACCUCUGCGGCAACAUGGCCAACCUGGCUCUCCACGAUCACGACGGCUCCAGUGGCGCCUCUGACCAGGACACACUGGCCCCUUUGCCGCACCCGGGGGCCGCCCCUUGGCCCAUGGCUUUCCCAUACCAGUACCCGCCACCCCCGCACCCCUACAACCCGCACCCGGGCUUCCCGGAGCUGGGCUACAGCUACGGCGGGGGCAGCGCCAGCAGUCAGCACAGCGAAGGCAGUCGGAGCAGUGGCUCCAACCGUAGCGGCAGCGAUCGGAGGAAGGAGAAGGACCCGAAGGCCGGGGACUCCAAGUCCGGGGGCAGCGGCAGCGAAUCGGACCACACCACACGCAGCAGCCUGCGGGGGCCGCGGGAGCGGGCGCCCAGCGAGCGCUCAGGGCCGGCGGCCAGCGAGCACAGUCACCGCAGCCACCAUUCCCUGGCCAGCAGCCUUCGCAGCCACCACACACACCCGAGCUACGGCCCUCCCGGAGUGCCCCCUCUCUACGGCCCCCCCAUGCUGAUGAUGCCCCCGCCGCCCGCGGCCAUGGGGCCCCCAGGAGCCCCUCCGGGCCGCGACCUGGCCUCAGUGCCCCCGGAACUGACCGCCAGCAGACAGUCCUUCCGCAUGGCCAUGGGAAACCCCAGUGAGUUCUUUGUGGAUGUGAUGUGAGCAGGGCCCCUCCCCCACCUCCAUUCCGAUCCCACCCCAGCCGGCUGCGUUCCUCUCUCCAUCCGUCCGUCUUUUUUACUUUGUCUGGUACCUGAAAGGGAAAUAAACGGAACUAAAUCCA
rnacentral:sRNA from 1 species